rnacentral:rRNA from 1 species
CUAGCAUAUCAAUAAGCGGAGGAAAAGAAACUAACAAGGAUUCCCCUAGUAACUGCGAGUGAAGCGGGAAAAGCUCAAAUUUAAAAUCUGGCAGCCUUUGGUUGUCCGAGUUGUAAUCUAGAGAAGUGUUAUCCGCGCUGGACCGUGUACAAGUCUCCUGGAAUGGAGCGUCAUAGAGGGUGAGAAUCCCGUCUUUGACACGGACUGCCAGGGCUUUGUGAUGCGCUCUCAAAGAGUCGAGUUGUUUGGGAAUGCAGCUCAAAAUGGGUGGUAAAUUCCAUCUAAAGCUAAAUAUUGGCGAGAGACCGAUAGCGAACAAGUACCGUGAGGGAAAGAUGAAAAGAACUUUGGAAAGAGAGUUAAACAGUACGUGAAAUUGCUGAAAGGGAAACGCUUGAAGUCAGUCGCGUUGUCCAGGGAUCAACCUUGCUUUUGCUUGGUGCACUUUCUGGUCGACGGGUCAGCAUCAAUUUUGACUAUUGGAAAAAGAUUAGGGGAAUGUGGCAUCUUUGGAUGUGUUAUAGCCCUUGGUUGCAUACAAUGGUUGGGAUUGAGGAACUCAGCACGCCGCAAGGCCGGGUUUUUAACCACGUACGUGCUUAGGAUGCUGGCAUAAUGGCUUUAAUCGACCCGUCUUGAAACACGGACCAAGGAGUCUAACAUGCCUGCGAGUGUUUGGGUGGAAAACCCGAGCGCGUAAUGAAAGUGAAAGUUGAGAUCCCUGUCGUGGGGAGCAUCGACGCCCGGACCAGACCUUUUGUGACGGUUCCGCGGUAGAGCAUGUAUGUUGGGACCCGAAAGAUGGUGAACUAUGCCUGAAUAGGGUGAAGCCAGAGGAAACUCUGGUGGAGGCUCGUAGCGAUUCUGACGUGCAAAUCGAUCGUCAAAUUUGGGUAUAGGGGCGAAAGACUAAUCGAACC